rnacentral:rRNA from 1 species
GGCGGACGGGUUAGUAACGCGUGGGAACGUACCCAGAUCUAAGGAAUAGCCACUGGAAACGGUGAGUAAUACCUUAUACGCCCUUCGGGGGAAAGAUUUAUCGGAUUUGGAUCGGCCCGCGUUAGAUUAGGUAGUUGGUGGGGUAAUGGCCUACCAAGCCUACGAUCUAUAGCUGGUUUUAGAGGAUGAUCAGCAACACUGGGACUGAGACACGGCCCAGACUCCUACGGGAGGCAGCAGUGGGGAAUCUUAGACAAUGGGCGCAAGCCUGAUCUAGCCAUGCCGCGUGAGUGAUGAAGGCCUUAGGGUCGUAAAGCUCUUUCGCCUGUGAUGAUAAUGACAGUAGCAGGUAAAGAAACCCCGGCUAACUCCGUGCCAGCAGCCGCGGUAAUACGGAGGGGGUUAGCGUUGUUCGGAAUUACUGGGCGUAAAGCGCAC